rnacentral:rRNA from 1 species
AGGGCACCACCAGGAGUGGAGCCUGCGGCUUAAUUUGACCCAACACGGGAAAACUCACCCGGCCCGGACACCGUAAGGAUUGACAGAUUGAGAGCUCUUUCUUGAUUCGGUGGGUGGUGGUGCAUGGCCGUUCUUAGUUGGUGGAGCGAUUUGUCUGGUUAAUUCCGAUAACGAACGAGACUCUAGCCUGCUAAAUAGGCAGUGGAUUAUUCGUCCACUGUACUUCUUAGAGGGACAAGCAGCGUCUAGCUGCACGAGAUUGAGCAAUAACAGGUCUGUGAUGCCCUUAGAUGUUCGGGGCUGCACGCGCGCUACACUGAAGGAAUCAACAUGCUUCUCAACCUUGGCCGGAAGGUCUAGGUAACCCGUUGAAACUCCUUCGUGAUUGGGAUAGGGAAUUGCAAUUAUUUCCCUUGAACGAGGAAUUCCCAGUAAGUGCGGGUCAUCAGCUCGCGCUGAUUACGUCCCUGCCCUUUGUACACACCGCCCGUCGCUACUACCGAUUGGAGGUAGAGCAGA